rnacentral:rRNA from 1 species
UGGGGAAUUUUGGACAAUGGGGGCAACCCUGAUCCAGCAAUGCCGCGUGAGUGACGAAGGCCUUAGGGUUGUAAAACUCUUUCGUCGGGGACGAUAAUGACGGUACCCGAAGAAGAAGCUCCGGCUAACUUCGUGCCAGCAGCCGCGGUAAUACGAAGGGAGCUAGCGUUGUUCGGAAUCACUGGGCGUAAAGCGCACGUAGGCGGAUAGUUAAGUCAGGGGUGAAAUCCUGGGGCUCAACCCCAGAACUGCCUUUGAUACUGGCUGUCUCGAGGUCGAGAGAGGUUGGUGGAAUUCCUAGUGUAGAGGUGAAAUUCGUAGAUAUUAGGAAGAACACCAGUGGCGAAGGCGGCCAACUGGCUCGAUACUGACGCUGAGGUGCGAAAGCGUGGGGAGCAAACAGGAUUAGAUACCCCAGUAGUCCCUGAGCGGGCUGGCAAGGCGCAU